GCAGCAGCGCUGCUCUCGCCCGAUCGUUGCGCUCAUAAUUUGAAUUUCAAUUACAACUGUUUCGGUUUUGAUUUGUUACAAGUGCUUGUUGCUACACAGUUGUUGUUGCUCUAGGAGCGAAACCGUUUCGUUUUACUUUUGCGCAUUUGCUAAUCACCAUGUCUGCCGAGAGCAGCAGCAGCACCAGCAGCAGCAACGAUGACGCUGACAGAGAGCCUGAGAACAUUAUGGAUUUAUCAAUUAGAGCUAUGAAAUCGACUCACGUGAGCGCUGCUACAGCGACGCCAACGCCUCUGUCGCUGACAGCAGCAGCAGCAGCCACACAAAUACAAAUAUUAGAAAUAAUAACAAAAAAUAAAAAAUAAUAAUGAAAAGCAAAAAAAAAAAACCGCGCGUAUGGCAGAUAAAUCAGAGAAAAACCUAAAAACAUUGAAAUGAACAGCAAAUGCCGCUUGCCGCAGUACACAGACACGCACACAUACAGCUAAAGACUGCCUAUACAGUCGCAGACAGACACACACACUCAUGCAAAGACAAACGUCAGCGCCGCCGUCGCAUUGACGUAAUAGCAAAAACCAUAGUACGUAGAGUAAAUUAAAAUAACACAAAUGAAUAAAAUGCCAGCACAAUGAGUGCCGGCUGCGAUCUCACUGAGUAUAACCAAGUGCGAGAGUGUGUGAGAGAGCGCGAGUGGGAGAGCGGCGAUAGCGUGUGAGAGCGGCGCGCAAUUAAAAAUAUCAAUUUGAACUUUGAGACGCAGUGGAAAAUGCCCAAAGCCAUAAGCUGCUGUCGGCCCGCAUAGAACCAAUUAGAAACAACAACAAAUUGAAUAGCCGAAGCAGCGCAGCUUGCGAGAUUCGGCUGCCCAAAGCUGAGCUUCGGGCUCGGCUGCGAGUUGUUCGUCGUUUUGAGUUGCGCGCGCGACGAAAAGAGAAAAAAAAUGGUUGCCAAAAAUAAAAGUUCAAAAUGUGCACAACACGCGGUGUCACUGAGAGCGAGAGAGAGCAAGAGUGAGAGCGUGUGCGAGUGUAUGUGUGAGCAUGUGUCGUUAAGCAGAGUAUGAGAGAGAGCGAGAGAGAGAGAGAGAGAGCGCGCGCUUGUUGGCAGCCACAUGGCAGCGUCAGCAUGGUUCUAAGUUGUAGCGUAUCUGUAUCUGUAGUAUGUCGUAUCUGUGUGUUAUUUCUUGUUGUUGCUGUUCUUGUUGUAUUUGUGUGUGUUUGCCCUUAGUAGCUGGGCGCUCUCGCGCACACACACGCACACACGAGCACGUUUUCGCUCUGCCUGUACUGCUGGCCGCGAGCGCAUAUUGUACACUUUGCAACGGGCGCGUGUGCCCAGUCAGAGUCAGAUGAACAGCCAAAGCCGUGUGGACGCAAAUUAAAUACAAACAAUAAAAUUGGCAAAUAAAAUUCGAUAAAAAAUAUGUGCAAAAAUCGUAUAAUACAUUAAUAAAUUCACGGCAUACGAAACAUGGUAAAUUAAUCAUUUUCGGUGAGCAGCGGCACCAGAGACUGCCUUUAAACAAAAAAUUCAACUUUGCCCAAGCGAAGCACGUGUGUCAAGCAGGAACUUUUAGUAACAAAAGCAAAAAUCAAGUGCAUCCUAGCUGCAGCGGAAGCUUUAGCCAAAGCGUCGCUCAUCUGUGUAGAGUUUUAACGGCUUCCGCAUCCUAUGCGAGCCAGCGCGACUUUCAAACCGUCAGCCAAGUGCACUUGUGUUUGUCGAGUUGUGUGCGUGUGUGUGUGUGUGCAUCGCGCUCUUGUCACAUGCGCGCUCAGUCAGCAUAGGCAGCGACAGCGGCAGUGGCAGCGGCAGCGGCUACGUCGACGACACCCACAACGCCCGAAGACGGCGCUAAGCGAACAGUCGUCGUCAGGCAGCGGCAGCAGCAGCGUCAGCAGCAGCAGCAGCAGCGAAUACCAAGAACACGCCACGCGCUCUAACAACAACAAGAACAACAACAACAGCUACACCAAUUAAUUUGACCACAACAAGGACAACAGCCAUUAAAACGCUAACGAAACGCGCGCGUUUUUCAACACACAUCAUCCAUUUGUGCAAAAACAAAAAAAGAAAUCAGCGUGCGCGUGUGCGUGUGCCUGCGCUUGUGUCGGUGAGCUGUCAACAUUUUUCAUCGAUUUUCGGCUCGUCGUGUGUUGUUCGCUCGUCGGCGGCCGCGACUCCCAGCAAAACGUCCUGUCGUGUGUUCGUGUGUCUCUGUGUGUGUGUGCGCGCGUGUGUGAGUGUAGAUAUACUACACCCCCGCUCACUAGACGUGCCCGCGCCAACGAUCAGGCUCAAAGCUCACUUAGCGAACAAAAAAAUAUAACUUGCUGUCUCUGUCGCACGCCGGGCGCUGAUUUCCGUGAAGGCGCACCUACAACCCCCCACUCCACUCCGCUCCACAACACUCUACCCGCAAACCAAAAAGCCUACCAGCUAACUGUUUAUUAAGUUUGUCAAGUCUAUGCGAAUGCCAUACUAGUGCUUUAUAACUGUACAAUAAAUACCAACUACAACAACAAACAAACGCGAGAGAACUCUCAAAAAACAAAAACAAAAAGCAAUUGAGUUUAUUUUUAGUGCCACAACAAAAAUAAAUAAAUAAGCAAAGCAGAGCCUGCAACAACGUUUAACGUUCUACAGCAACAACAACAACAACAACAACAACUGUCAACAAGCUAAAUAAAAGAAAAAGUAGCCAAAACUCAAACGCAGCGGCAUUUGAAAAAACGCACGACACGUAAAAAAUAUAUAUAUAUAUAAAAAAAAUGCUAUAAAAAUAGCGCAAUUAGCAAAUGAAACAAAGCAACAACAACAACAACAACUCAACUAAAUUAAACUACAACUAAAGCUAAACUAUAAAAAAAUCAACGAAAAAAAAGAACACAAAAACUUGCAACCAAAAAUACCAAAAGCAAUGCGCCUAAAUAUUAAAGUUCACUUAAAAAUUGUAAAAAAAAUAAGCUAAAUUAAAAGAAUAAAAUUUGUCUGUUACGUUUCAUGUUGUUGUACAAUUUUGUUGUUAUUUCUAAACGCCUGUUGUUAUUAGAAAUAAAAGAAAGGAAAAUACAUAAAUAAACAGCAAGAAUUAUAAAUAAAAGAACAAAUUGUUGAAUGAAUUCGCGGUGCCUUUAUUUAUAGCGAGCAGCAUAAAUAAUUAAAUAUAUCUCUAUAUACAUAAAGUUUAAUAAUUAUAAUGCAUAUUUAGCCAAGCAAUAAAGAAACGUUAACGUGCAAUAUUUAAAGUUUACAUUGAAUUUAGCAUAAAACAUUCAUUUUUUGUACAUUGUGAUUUCAACAAAAAAAGAAAGAAAACAAAAAACAAAGUUAUAUAAAUUAAACAACAAAAUACGCUACAAAAG